rnacentral:lncRNA from 10 species
CAGGCAGCCACAUUCCUUUCUGCAUGAGGAUAACAUUUUAUAGUCAGCCAGAUCAGAGUUCUUCUCCUCUUUUUUGCCUUCUCUUUUCAUUCUUGAUUAGAGACUACAUUAGAGACUACUCCUAAUUAGAAACUUGUAUGUUUUAGUAGAAACCAUGCCAGAUGUGUGAUGCAGUUCAGUGGAAUGUUAGAGAGCAACUGAUGGUGGCACUUUGAAUUGGGAUUGUAAGCGUGACAGAUGGGGGCUGAGGCAAGAAGAGCCUAGAAGCAUGAGUCAGUGAAAGAAGAGCAAGGACAAAAACCCAGUCUUCAGAGAAAUCAGCUGACUGAACCGAGACCAAAUAGCAGCCUCCAGUCCAUGAUUCAAGGAGAGGGCAAGACUAUAUUGGCUGGCACUGAUGCCUUGUUGGGUUGAAGGAGAGACCCAGGUAUUCAAGGGCACUACACAGAAGGAGACAAGAAGAUGAAAGGAACUCUUAAAUUUAUUGAGCAUCUAAUAUUCUAUUUAAUUCUUGCAGCAAUCCUGGGAGCACCCUUAACACAAAUGUUUAAUGUUUUGGUCAAGAUCAGGAAUUUAACAGACGGAGGAUUUAGAUUUGUCUGUCUCUAAAAUCCAUGUUCUUUUUUAAAUGCCAUUUUGAGAAUUCUCAGAGAUUGUUGCCCAAUACUCUUCCAUAAAUUGAGGAAUAAAGAAGACUAAGAUAUUCCCCAAACUUGAUGACUUGCCCCAUGAGAACUAUCGAUUUAAGUCCCACAAGCCUCUGUGUUAGUUCACAGAGGGAAGAGGAAGCCUAUGGGUAGAUAGGGAGAUGCCCAGGGGAGAAUGAAGGAUGGUUCUGCUCCAUUGUCCAGAAUCUCAGUUUGCUUUGUUCCAGAUUAACUCCAGGUGGCCUGAUACUGUGUACUGAUGACCACAGCAACCUUCCAAAGGAUCCACAGGAGCCUAAUAGCCUUCAAAGGAAGCAUCACAAUAUAGCAUGAGAAUAUGCCCAAUGUUGAAACUGAUCAGGAAAAAGCAAGUGAAAUUAAUCAUUAUAUACUUAAAAAAAAAUGAAACUAAGUAAAUAUCCAUUCACAAAGGAGGAGUUAAACAAAUCACAGGGCAUUUUUCCCUUUACAAAGCCAAUUAAAAAGGUGGUUGAAUUAAUUAUACUUCCAUGGAUGGAUAUCCAGGAUGUAUUGAGUGCAAAAAGCAAGUUAAUAAGAACAACAAAAAUGAUAUACCUAUGUGCUCAUAUACCUCUGUGUGACACAGAGAAAGGCCAGGAAGAACAUGUAUCCUUUAAUGGUUAUUUUGGGGGAAGAGAAGGUGGAAUGGGGAAGGAGUAGAGCAGUGACUUUUGCUCUUCAUGCAUUUCUGCAUGGUUUGAAUUUUGGGAAGAAAACUGAGCAUUUAUUACUGUUAUAAUAUAAAAUAAACCCAACACAAAAGUGAAUAGUCAGUAGAAUACAACUAUCUUUCUGAGCCAGAGGCAGAGAAUGAUGACUUAAGGUCAUGGAUGAUUCUGUAUCAGCAUCUAAUUCAGAAAUACAGACGCAUGCUGAAAUCUGCUCCAGUUAGGAGAUCCAAAAAAAUCUGCUCCAGGAGAAAAAACAAACAACCCCAUCAAAAAGUGGGUGAUGCAUAUGAACAGGCACUUCUCAAAAGAA